rnacentral:tRNA from 2 species
UGGGCCGUGGCCAAGUGGUAAGGCACCAGGUUUUGGUCCUGGCAUUCGCAGGUUCGAAUCCUGCCGGCCCAGCCA